rnacentral:rRNA from 1 species
GACGAACGCUGGCGGCGUGCCUAAUACAUGCAAGUUGAGCGCUGAAGGUUGGUACUUGUACCAACUGGAUGAGCAACGAACGGGUGAGUAACGCGUGGGGAAUCUGCCUUUGAGCGGGGGACAACAUUUGGAAACGAAUGCUAAUACCGCAUAAAAACUUUAAACACAAGUUUUAAGUUUGAAAGAUGCAAUUGCAUCACUCAAAGAUGAUCCCGCGUUGUAUUAGCUAGUUGGUGAGGUAAAGGCUCACCAAGGCGAUGAUACAUAGCCGACCUGAGAGGGUGAUCGGCCACAUUGGGACUGAGACACGGCCCAAACUCCUACGGGAGGCAGCAGUAGUGAAUCUUCGGCAAUGGACGAAAGUCUGACCGAGCAACGCCGCGUGAGUGAAGAAGGUUUUCGGAUCGUAAAACUCUGUUGGUAGAGAAGAACGUUGGUGAGAGUGGAAAGCUCAUCAAGUGACGGUAACUACCCAGAAAGGGACGGCUAACUACGUG